rnacentral:rRNA from 1 species
CGCCAGACUCCUACGGGAGGCAGCAGUGAGGAAUAUUGGUCAAUGGGCGCGAGCCUGAACCAGCCAAGUCGCGUGAGGGAUGAAGGAUCUAUGGUUCGUAAACCUCUUUUAUAAGGGAAUAAAGUGCGGGACGCGUCCCGCUUCGCAUGUACCUUAUGAAUAAGGAUCGGCUAACUCCGUGCCAGCAGCCGCGGUAAUACGGAGGAUCCGAGCGUUAUCCGGAUUUAUUGGGUUUAAAGGGUGCGCAGGCGGGCUGUUAAGCCGGCGGUAAAAAUUCAGGGCUCAACCCUGUCGAGCCGUCGGAACUGGCAGUCUUGAGUGGGCGAGAAGUAUGCGGAAUGCGUGGUGUAGCGGUGAAAUGCAUAGAUAUCACGCAGAACGCCGAUUGCGAAGGCAGCAUACCGGCGCCCAACUGACGCUGAGGCACGAAAGCGUGGGGAUCGAACAGGAUUAGAUACCCCCGUA